GUUGCUCAAGUGCGACAUCUGACGGUAGACUCUGCGACAUCUAUUCAACCACUUGGGUUCAGCAAUGGGACCGGGGAUGUGAAUUUCCAAUACGAAUUGGCGCACGCACUGGUGUAAGUCUGUAUCCAGCAUUUCUUGCAUGAGCUGCGGAAAUUACUAAGUGUCAUCUUAAAUAUCUCACCAUGUCUUCGAACCCGCCACCCAUAGGAGCGUCCGUAUCUACCUUUAAAAUAUCGAUGAUUCUACCAGAGUGGCCUAACUCUUUCAGGAGGGUUUCUGUGACCUGCAUCGUAUGUGCGAAUUCCCAUAAACGAUCAGAUUCUUCAAGUGGGGACGCAAGACCGGGUAUUCCGUCUGUUAUAUAAUGGAUAUCAAUGAAAUAAAGUGCUCAAGGAAUGAAAAUUAGACACCUCAUACGCACACAGGGUUGAAGAAAUUGCCGUUAAAUGUUUCGCGGAAGGAUACACACACCGGCCACAAUGGUAGCAGCAUCGAGCCUCGCAUCCAAGAACUCUUGAGCUGGAACUAGAGGCGCGAACCACGUUGCUAAUUCGAUAAUGUUGAAUGAA